rnacentral:misc_RNA from 1 species
ACACCUCAACUCUCAUGGUUUGCCAUGAUGAGCUUGGACUCUGGAGGUCUUGCUGGCUCAUGGUCAGCUCCUCUUAAAUGAAUCAGCUUUCCAGUGUUUGGUGGCAUCACAGGUGUGAUAACUAUCUACGCUUGUGGUGUCCUCCCAGGUAACCUUCGAGCAUGGAGGUCGCUGGAGCUAAUAAACGCACAUCUCUCAUUGUAGAGAUGGCUUUUUAGAU